UACGGAGGGUGCAAGCGUUAUCCGGAUUCACUGGGUUUAAAGGGUGCGUAGGUGGUUGGUAAGUCAGUGGUGAAAUCUCCGAGCUUAACUUGGAAACUGCCAUUGAUACUAUCAAUCUUGAAUAUUGUGGAGGUCAGCGGAAUAUGUCAUGUAGCGGUGAAAUGCUUAGAGAUGACAUAGAACACCAAUUGCGAAGGCAGCUGGCUACACAUAUAUUGACACUGAGGCGCGAAAGCGUGGGAUCAAACAGG
rnacentral:rRNA from 1 species